CUGCUCAGAUUGAACGCUGGCGGCAGGCCUAACACAUGCAAGUCGAGCGGCAGCACGGGUACUUGUACCUGGUGGCGAGCGGCGGACGGGUGAGUAAUGCCUAGGAAUCUGCCUGGUAGUGGGGGAUAACGUCCGGAAACGGGCGCUAAUACCGCAUACGUCCUACGGGAGAAAGUGGGGGAUCUUCGGACCUCACGCUAUCAGAUGAGCCUAGGUCGGAUUAGCUAGUUGGUGAGGUAAUGGCUCACCAAGGCGACGAUCCGUAACUGGUCUGAGAGGAUGAUCAGUCACACUGGAACUGAGACACGGUCCAGACUCCUACGGGAGGCAGCAGUGGGGAAUAUUGGACAAUGGGCGAAAGCCUGAUCCAGCCAUGCCGCGUGUGUGAAGAAGGUCUUCGGAUUGUAAAGCACUUUAAGUUGGGAGGAAGGGCAGUUACCUAAUACGUGAUUGUUUUGACGUUACCGACAGAAUAAGCACCGGCUAACUCUGUGCCAGCAGCCGCGGUAAUACAGAGGGUGCAAGCGUUAAUCGGAAUUACUGGGCGUAAAGCGCGCGUAGGUGGUUUGUUAAGUUGGAUGUGAAAGCCCCGGGCUCAACCUGGGAACUGCAUCCAAAACUGGCAAGCUAGAGUAUGGUAGAGGGUGGUGGAAUUUCCUGUGUAGCGGUGAAAUGCGUAGAUAUAGGAAGGAACACCAGUGGCGAAGGCGACCACCUGGACUGAUACUGACACUGAGGUGCGAAAGCGUGGGGAGCAAACAGGAUUAGAUACCCUGGUAGUCCACGCCGUAAACGAUGUCAACUAGCCGUUGGGAGCCUUGAGCUCUUAGUGGCGCAGCUAACGCAUUAAG
rnacentral:rRNA from 1 species